ACCGUAAUAGCUAGGGGACAUUCCUCAGUCAUCAUCCUGCCCCCAAAGCCAAUGGUCACCUGGACUUCAAUGGAGAAGAGGAAAGCGGAGAUACAUCCUUCCAGUGCAAUUCAAUAAAUCUGAAGCAUCAGAAUGCUUAACAGGGCUAGACAGUGGAAAAUAUAUCCUGCCCAUGAAGACGGUCUAAAUAA